rnacentral:lncRNA from 1 species
CUCUCUUUCACUAUUCAAUCUAUCCAACCUCCAGACAUAUCUUUGAGCUCCUUCUUCUCAUGGGGACUUUACAUUACUACUCCCUCUCAUCUCAAUCAUUAGUGGCUCUCUGCUCUACAUGGAUGAAUUGUUCCAAAUCUCCCAUCACUUUCUCCAUCUUGUUGAAACUUUGCAUUAAUAAGCUGCAAUUAAAAAAAAAGAAAUUUUAAAAAGAAAAAAUGAAAAAUCAAUUGGCUUUUAUGGUGGGUUUGGAUGGGCGAUUAGGUGCGGUGCAGUGCGUUUAGCUUACUUUUUAUCUCACGCUAAAGUAUCACUACAGUAUCUAAUCUCACCACUACCGCUGUUUUUACACUAACCGCAGGUAAAAGCAUCGUCCAUCCAAACUCACCCUUAAUCUUUUCAUCCCGUACAUAACACCAUUUUCAAUAAAUUCCAUCCUCACCACAUUUCCACUUUGGUUCUUUUGGGGUUACACUGCAAAAAAUAAGCGUGCUGUAUGGGAAGAUAAAAUGGCAUAUUUUGUAAUUUAUUUUAUUUUUAAAAGGAGAAAAAUUAUAAGGUAAACUAUAAAACUGGUCAUGAAAUUUUAGUGAAAAUUAUUUUUUUUGCAACUGAAUUAUAAAAAGUUAUAUUUUCAUCAUUAAAAUUAUCGAUUUAUAAUGUUUCGUCAUUGGUUCAUUAAUGGUCGUUACAACCUUAAUGAAAACGUGAGGUGCACAUUAAUUCAAAAGUUAAUAUCCAAUUUGAUCCUUGAAUUAUAGUUAAAAUAUUCAAUUGGUAUUUUUACAAUAUUUUAACAAUAAUUUUGAAAAAAAUAUUAAAAAUUUUAUUUAAAAAAUUCAAAGAAUAUCUUUAAAACAUCUGAAAAUUUAUUACUUAUUUUUUGAAAUUAUAAAAAUAAUUUUAAAAAUUAUAGUUAUAUAAAAAUUCAAAAAUUCAAAAAAAUAUAAUAAACAAAACAUGUAUGAACAAAAUAAAAAUACAUAUUUUCUAUGUAAGAUGCGUGCAUAGCAAGCCAUUGAUGGUCCAUUAGUUUGAAUGCAAUGCAAUCCAGAAGGUCAAACACAGACUCGUUUUCGAUUCGAAGGCAAAAAGCAGAGCUAAUUUACUUUAAAGGAGUACAACUAGAUUGAAGACUAAAUGAAUUAGGAAAGAAAUAAACUUCCACAAAAACAUUAUAAACAAUGAAAGUGCAAAAACUUGGAAUAAAGUCGCAUUACCUGAGAGCAACUUUAAGAAAAUUG